rnacentral:lncRNA from 1 species
UUUCUUAUCAUACCUACUCCAACCAAUCAUUAUCCUUCUUUAUCAAUCAUUAUCUUCUUAUCCCAUCUACUCCAACCAAACACUAUUUUUCAUUAUUCUAGACUAACUCCAACCCCCAACCAAACACAAAAAAAUUUUAACCCAUUUUAACCCUGAACUUAACCCUAUCUCUGGAAUAGCUACUUUUUCCUUAACCCCGAACCAAACGGAGGCUAAGCCUGAACUUAACCCUAUCUCUGGAAUAGCUACUUUUUCCUUAACCCCGAACCAAACGGAGGCUUAAGGUUUUUCUUUUUUUGUAAGUUUCCUCUCUUAUCUGAUAUUUUUCAUUUUUGGUAAUCAGAGCACUAAAUUAACAAAUUAACUGAUAUUGUGCUGAUAAUAUGCUACGUGUUUCUACAUAUCAUCCUUGGCGGCCUUGCAAUUUUUUUAUUAUGGAGUUUAGAAGUAACCAAGCAUGAAUGCUCUUUGAAUGAUCUAGGGUUUUUCUUUUUUUGUAAGUUUCCUCUCUUAUCUGAUAUUUUUCAUUUUUGGUAAUCGGAGCACUAAAUUAACAAACUAACUGAUAUUGUGCCGAUAAUAUGCUACCUGUUUCUACAUAUCAUCCUUGGCGGCCUUGCAAUUUUUAAAUUAUGGAGUUUAGAAGUAGAAACCACAUGGCGCAUCACGAAGAUAAGUUUGUUUUUUUUUUUGGUUUUAAGUGGAAUGUGCCUUCAGAGAGUUCAUAUCUUUGGAAUUAGGAGGUACAUCCUAGAAUUAUAUAUAUUGAAACUUGAAGAGGCCAGCUGGCCCAAGCCUGAGCUUGGUCCAAUAUCUAAAACUCAGGUUUUCUGGUUGAUCUUUUGCAUGGUAAUUUUGCAAAACUGCCUCAUAUUGGUUUGCUUUUUGAGCCAGGGAGGUUUGAAACAGAUGUAUCCUGGUUUAAUUUUGUUCAUAUACUGGUUAAAAUUUGGAGAUGGAAACUUUUAGGUCUCUUGUCCAGCAUCUAGCUUUUGCCUGGGCUUCCAAUGCUUGCCGUGAUAACAAAGUUGUAUUUCUACAUUCAUUGCAUUGGUUAGAAUUUUAUUAAUAUUGCAUGUGCCAAAAAUGCAUGAAUCUCCAUUCUAUUCUGAGCUAACGGAGCAACUAUAAACCACCAAAUAGUGGUGGUAAGGGUGGCACAGAUUAGUCUCUUUCAUCCAUCAUUUGCACAUGAGGCAUGUUAUAAAUUUGAGCUUGUUCUACUCAUAUGACAGUUAAUUUGUUGAAAUUUACUAUCCUAUUGCUCUUUCACUUGGACAUCUAUUUUUUGAGUUAGAUUGAUGAGAAUGUAUCCUGGUUAUUUGAUGAAUUACAUUUUGCUGUUCUGUUAGUUCAACUUGUCAUUGUAUGGUGCUGUAUUUGAGUUAGUUUGGUAAGUAUACAUGCUAGUUAUUUGUCGAGUUUUUUUUCCAAAUCCUGCUAGUUCGUUCUGCUAUACUAGACAUCAUUGUUUGAAUUAGAUUAAUGAGUCCAUAUCAUGCUUAUCUGCUGAAUCUUGUUUUGCUGUCUUGCUAGUUCUGACAUCUAAUUUUCUGUUAGUUAGAGUAUAUAUGCCGGGAAUUUGUCGAAUCUUGUGUUUCUCUCCUGGUAGCUCAGUUUGUCAUCCUGGACAUCUCUUUAUUUUGGAGUUAGAUUGAUGAUUAUGUAUACUGGUGGUUUGUUGAAUCUAACUAUGCCGCCCUUCAGUAUGCUAUCCUAGACACUUUCUUUCAAUUAGUCUCUGUUCCUCUCUCGCCAUUCAGUUUGCUAUCCUGUGCAUGUACUUCGAGUUAGUUUGCUCAUAUGUGCUGGUUAUCUGUGCAUGUACUUCGAGUUAGUUUGCUCAUAUGUGCUGGUUAUCUGCUGAAAACCAACUCAAUCUCGACCCUUUAUCCUCCGGCCUAUACCAUUGUGAUAAUGUAAGCCCACAAAAAGAGAGCUAGUAACAUUGGGAAGGGUGGCAUGGAUUUGAACUGUUGUGUCGACCAUGCUGUACAUAAAUUUAUCUUUUAGCCUUGUGCUCAAUCGACUCAUAUCAUUGUUGAAUUGCUAAAUCUCCUUUUACCGUCCUUCUAGGUUUUCAUUGUAGACAUCUAUGUUUGAGCUGGAUUGAUGAGCAUAUAAUCUAGUUAUUUGCUAAUCUUAUUUUGCUAUUCCUGUUUGCGACUCUAGACAUCUAUUCAUCUAUGCAAGUUAUUUUGCUGUUAUUUGCCUAGACAUCCAUGUUUGAGUUUGGUGAGAUUACAUGCUAAUUAUCUGCUAAAUCUUAUUGUGUUGUCGUGCUAGUUCAGUAUGCCAUCCUAGACAUCUAUUUAUCAGUUAGUUUGCUGAGUUUGUACGUUGGUUAUUUGUUGAAUCUUAUUACUGUAUUGUUAGUUUGGUUUGCUGGUUUGCCAUCCUAACAUUUUUCUUUCCAGAUAGAGUAGUUCAUAUGCUAGUAGUCUGCUGAAUAUUUUUGGCUGUCUUCUUAGUUUAAAACCCUAAACCCUAACUUGCAAUGCUCUAAAGUCUUAAACUCGCAAACCUAAUGCCCUAAAAGGCUAAAACUCUUAAGAGAAGAUUAACUGAAUGCCCCUCUAAUGAGUUAUAAUUGCACAGAUGCCAUCUUGAAUUUUGAAGUAUCACAUAUGCUCUUCUAACUUGUAGCAAAACUAACCUUUUUUUCAAAAAUGUCCAUUGAGGAUUUCACUAGACCUACUUGGAUAAGCCAUGACCGACUUAAGAGGGCUAGCUGUUUUAAAAAAUAGGUCUUACCAGACCGGGCUGCCUACAAAGGUUACGCCACAAAUACAAAAUUUUCCAUCCUCUUUCUUUACCCUUUUGCCUCUACAUUCGUACGUUCAUUAGGGCAGUUGAGUCUGCUUAUUUGAAAGCAAUCUUGUCAAAAUCUUCAACAAAUCUAGAAGCACUGCAUCGAGUUUGAUCUUCUCCACGCUCUUUCAAAAAAUAUCUCCCCCAACCCAUCAUUUGUCUUAGAUAAUUGGCGGAAGAUUCUCGUUUUCAAGACCUUGUUAGUUCUAGGGAUUUUGAGAGCCCAAACAGUUGAAUUUUGAGAGCCUGAACAGUGCACCAGUACCUCCUUGACAGGACUGUUCAUGAAUCCUUUCGACUUUUUUAUUAUUUAAAUCUUUUUGGAAGUAAUUGAAUUUAUAGUUUUUAAUCAAUAUGUGAAUUCAAGUAUGGACUCUCAAUGUUUAAUCAAUUUUAAUCAAUUUAAAAAUUUAGCCCGUAUGAAGAGACAAAUGAGUGAGAGAGAGUUGGCCAAUGUGGCCAAGUGGGAGAUUGUUACCAUAUGGUGUGUCCACAUUGGCGGGUUAUGAUUAAACUCGAUCCACAUAAGAUGUGGAUCAUGAUUUAUCCUAAUAAGUUUAGGAUAAGUAUAAAACUUAUAUGUUUCUUAUUAGUUAAGAAACAUAUCUUAUAAUGGAUAUUUAUUAUAUGUUAAUAAAUAUCUCAAUCCUUAUCCUAAUCUAUAUGAGAUUCAGGAUAUUUAGGGGUUCCGUUAUUCUAUAUAUACGCCCCCGUUUUCUCCCGUAGGAACGACGGAAAAAGAAUACGAUCUAAUUCGAGAAUUCACAAAAAUCUUCCUACUUCUCUCUCUUCUUCCUCUCUGGGAUUUCCACCUACGUUCCCGGGGUUUUAGGGUGUGGACAUAGGAGAGGACUCUGGUAGCCCUCUUCGAUUGGCAUCCGUGACGUAAGGCAAUCCGUUCCGUGACGUAAGGCGUACGCGUGGAAGAAGACGAGAAACGUGUGAGAUCCAAAAGCAUCGAGACAAGGACGAUUCAAGAAGGCUUGUAAAACGAGCAACCCGAUCCGAUUUCGGUUCCCGGAUACGUUGGCUAUCCGGUUUGUAAGUUUCCGCUGCCUAUUAUUUCUAACAAAUAGGGCAAAUGAAUUAAAAUAAGGGGACCAAACCUAUGCAUUAGGGGCCCAAAGGUCGAUUUCAAUAAAAUGGGCCGGCACGCUUGGCCCAGAGACUAAUGGAACAACCAACGAGCCACCAUGAUUAAUUUUGACAUGGGCCUUACUCAUACUACUAUUGAAAAGAUUGAAUUCCUUAAUGGACUGAAAAUACCAUGAUCCAAGUACNUUUUGUACUGUAUGCUUAUCCUAAGCUGUUUUGUAAUGUUUGCUUGUCCUGCCAUAUUCUUCUAUGUGUAACUAGUAACAUAAAUCUAUGAUGUUUUAAAGUGCGUGUUGUGCCAUAAAUUUGUGUUGUUUUGUAAUCUUUGUUUUUCCUGUCAUGUUCUUCUAUGUACAAAUAGUGUCCAAUCUGUUGAAUGCCGUGGACACUUGGAUAAAUGUAUAAUGUAAGAGUUGAUAGCUAUUAUUAUUGAG